rnacentral:lncRNA from 1 species
UGCCCCAAAUGGAGUUGUUAUCCUGACUCAGGCCAGCUUUGUGUGGCUCGGCUGCUGGAGAACGCUACUUGCUAUCCCCCAGGGCCGUCGAGGGUGAGCUUCGGAGUCAGAAGAGGGGGCAACGACUCGGAGGGAGAGACCGGCCUCUUAGCCAUACCCUGCGGAGUACGAAGAAAUGCCCCGGCCUCCGCCAUCAACGGCGGCCGCUGCCCGCAGUGUUCCCGUGCGACUGGAAUAGGAUCCUAGGAGUUUAAUGACCUGCCCUGCUCAGAAACCGUAGUCCCAAAUGUUUGGAGCCGUAUUUGGCUGUCAGAUUUAAGGCAAAAAGAAAGCAGAUUAGGCAGACAUUCUUCGGUUCUGGCGAUAGAAAUGAGAGCAUGACGUGUUUCAGCCACGCGCUUUGCCUCUGAGCAUCCAUUCCACUUGAUUUUUUUCUUUAAAAAAAAAAAAAUUGCACCGUUGAGACCGAGUUUUGCAAAAAUGACCGAUGCUAUUCUGUAGCCCGAGGAUCUUGCCAGCCAGCCUCCUGUCUCGGUCUGGAAUAACUGGGAUCACAGGCCGGUGCCAUCAGACCACCAGCCUUCCUUAUUAGGCGUUCUCUGGAUCGGUUGAGCUAGCACCAGUCUUGAACUUGUCAGAGACCAUCUCUCACUAAUUAAAGGAAGAGCUUUGAACACUUCAGCACAUCCGGGUUUGUUGGCUCACCUAAGAGGAGUGGAAGCCUUACUCAGAAGCACAGGAUGAAAGCACUCAGCCAUACCCAUCUUUUUAUGGCAUUCUUCUGAGGAAACAUGUGGAAAAUAUUCGUAAGAAGAGGCAAGAGUUCCGAAGGCGUGUGCAGAAGGUCUGAGUCACCGUGGCCAAGAGGCACUGCCGCUGCCUGCCCGUGGGCAGGCUCAGGCCUGUCCUUCUGUCCUCAUGUUUUCCCUUCACAUGCCCACGCUCAGAAAAUGUUUGCUGAAUGACUGACCGGCUGCCGAGGUGAGAUAUACAGUUACGCCAUCUGCCAACAGACACCUCCUGAUAUCACUUAGUAUCAAACAAAUCAAGAAAUUCAAGGAACAUGGCUCUCUGAACCAACGGCUCUGAGGAGGAAGGACCUGAAUGUGCAAGCCGUCUAUGAGAACUGGACCC